rnacentral:rRNA from 1 species
AUGCUGCAACCGGUAGCAGGAGCUGUUGCGACCGACGACGAAAUUUGCUGCCUUGAGGCUGAUGGUAAUGGACAAGACGAGGGCGGACGCCUUGGUGCUACAACCAGCAUCCGGUGUUGCCGGAACGACAACCGCCAUUUGCUGCAACCGGCAAUCAUGCAACACAGAGAGGAAGAUACCGCGUGCUGGGAUCGGCCGUCACCCUGGGCGGCGACAAAAAGCUGCAACCAUUCGUUGGUAAAGCUUCAACCUCCUGAUGAAUUUCCUGGAACCAGUAUUCAAUUUUGCUUGAACUGGAUAAUUUUUUGCUACAAUCGAUCAACGAGAGUUCUUGCUGGUAAGUUGUUUUUGCUAGAACCGGUGUUCAAUUUUGCUAGAACUAUAUUUUGCUACAAUCGAUCACCCCGAGAGUUCUUCUUGAUGAGUUGUUUUGCUCGAACCAGUAUUCAAUUCUGCUGGAACUGA